CCCAGUCUGCUUAACUGAACUUCACUGGACCUGGACUUCUGACUGGGAUUCCGGUACCGGAUCAGGAGGAACUGGUUCUGACUCCAUUGGGUGGCAGAACAAGGAGAAAAGUCUGGAUCACGACUGACUGAAGUCUGGAGGAUGGAAGAUUGGGAUCUAAAGGAGGAUAGAGCAGAACGUCCAGGAUCCAGCUGUCCAUCAAUGAGGAGUGACUGGUCAAUAGGUGAACCUCCAGACUUCAGUGCAGAACCUGGAUCCUCUGACAUAAAAGGUCAGAACCGCAGACAGAGAGCAGAACCUCUAGGAUCCAGCUGUCCAUCUUUGAGGAGUGACCGGUCCAAAGAUUCCAGGCCAUACUUCAGUGCAGAACCUGGACCCUCAGACUUGGAGUAAGGAACCAGUUUCUAACUGAUGGAUGUGACUGCAGAGUCAGAACCUCUAGAAUCUGAACUGGGUAAUCUUCACUGGUUUGGACUUUUUCUCAUCAGCAUUACACAGAUUACUGACAGGUCCAAAGUCAUUUUCUCUACUUCGAGCAUGAUA